GAAAUGCGAUAAGUAAUGUGAAUUGCAGAAUUCAGUGAAUCAUCGAAUCUUUGAACGCACAUUGCGCCCGCCAGCACUCUGGCGGGCAUGCCUGUUCGAGCGUCAUUUCAACCCUCAGAACCCCUUGCGGGAUCUGGCGUUGGGGAUUGGCAUCCAGCCAGCCCCGAAAUCUAGUGGCGGUCCCUCCGCGACCUCCCCUGUGCAGUAGCGAUACCUCGCAGCGGGACAGCGGUCUGACCACGCCGUAAAACCCCCAACUUCUCAAGGUUGACCUCGAAUCAGGUAGGAAUGCCCGCUGAACUUAAGC
rnacentral:misc_RNA from 1 species